GUAGUCGUGGCCGAGUGUUUAAGGAGACAGACUCGAAAUCUGUUGGGAUAUUCCCGCGCAGGAUCAAAUCCUGCCGACUACA
rnacentral:tRNA from 1 species